CAGAAUAUACUUUCAGGGAUCAUUUCUACAGUUCAUUACUAGAGAAGUUUCUCUGAUACUGUACAGCACCCGAAACCAUGAGAGGAGCCAGAGGAUCAUCUCAUGACCAUAAAACCUGUUUUAGGUGUUGCUUUUGCAGCUGCCUUUUGCCAUUGAUAAUCUUUCUUCUCUUCCCUAGGAGAGGGAGAGGAUGCAGUCUAUGUAGC